rnacentral:rRNA from 1 species
GAUGAACGCUGGCGGCGUGCCUAAUACAUGCAAGUCGAGCGAACAGACGAGGAGCUUGCUCCUCUGACGUUAGCGGCGGACGGGUGAGUAACACGUGGAUAACCUACCUAUAAGACUGGGAUAACUUCGGGAAACCGGAGCUAAUACCGGAGAAUAUAUUGAACCGCAUGGUGCAAUAGUGAAAGACGGUUUUGCUGUCACUUAUAGAUGGAUCCGCGCCGCAUUAGCUAGUUGGUAAGGUAACGGCUUACCAAGGCAACGAUGCGUCGCCGACCUGAGAGGGUGAUCGGCCACCCUGGAACUGAGCCACGCUCCAGACUCCUACGGGAGGCAGCAGUAGGGAAUCUUCCGCAGUGGGCGAAAGCCUGACGGAGCAACGCCGCGUGAGUGAUGAAGGUCUUCGGAUCGUAAAACUCUGUUAUUAGGGAAAAACAAAUGUGUAAGUAACUAUGCACGUAUUGACGGUACCUAAUCAGAAAGCCCCGGCUAACUACGUG